UACGAAGGGGGCUAGCGUUGCUCGGAAUCACUGGGCGUAAAGCGCACGUAGGCGGAUCUUUAAGUCAGGGGUGAAACUCCUGGAGCUCAACUCCAGAACUGCCUUUGAUACUGGGGAUCUCGAGUCCGGAAGAGGUGAGUGGAACUCCGAGUGUAGAGGUGAAAUUCGUAGAUAUUCGGAAGAACACCAGUGGCGAAGGCGGCUCACUGGUCCGGUACUGACGCCGAGGCACGAAAGCGUGGGGAGCAAACAGGG
rnacentral:rRNA from 1 species